UAAGGUCACUCGCAGCUGAAGGAAGUGCGAGCGAAGUGAAAAAUUCAUCAUCAAUGGGAGAAUAGAAGAAAAUAAAAUUCUGUAUUCUGUGCUUAGGUAAAUUAAAAAAUAAUUAUAUAGUGCGAGGUGUAUUGACGACGAAUCGUUUGCCAUAAUGCAAUAAUUAUGAACAACAGCGGGAAAAUAAGAGUGCAGUGAUGAGUUUAAGAAAAAAGUGUGAAAAAAAUUCUCGUCGAGAAAAAAUCGAAAAGUGAAAAGGCAAAAGCGAAGUGAAUUGGAAUUGAACGUGGUUAGAAGAAGAGGAACGUGGAAGGAAGGAGGCAUUCGUGAAAAAAGGAGAAAGAAUAAGCUCGUUUAACUUCGACGAAGACUACGACGAAGACGACGAUCAACUUUGGAUUCAAUAUAGAAAAUUAAGCUAGUAGCAUCAACAGCUGCAACAGCCUGCGUUAGCAACAACAAGAAUAAGAAGUAAAUCUCGCCAACUAAUAACCAAAUUUAAAACGUUAAUUAUAAUAAUUGCAGCAAAAUUAAAUAGAAUUUAAACAACAGCAACAACAACAGACGUGGCAACAAUAUUUUAUAACAAAAAAGUUCACAAAACAGGAAAGCUAAACACAAAACAAAAACAGCAACAUUAACACCAGCAACAGCAGCAGCAGCAGCAGCAACAAACCAACCAACAACAGUAGUUUAAAGAAGUUGUAAAAAUCACAAUUGUUAUAAUUACAAUAAUAAGCAUAAAAGUACAAACCACGGAUCAAUACCAAAGAUGGAGGCAAAAUUCUUGGCAAGCGUCAUUUCAUUCCUCUCGAUAUUUUUAGCGAUUUAUGCUGG